GUGCUUGCUUUGGCAGCACAUAUGGUAAAAUUGAAAUGAUAAGAGAAGAUUCGUCCUGUGCAAGGAUGACAUGCAAAUUCGUGAAGUAUUCCCUUAUUUU
rnacentral:snRNA from 1 species